rnacentral:rRNA from 1 species
AGCUCGAUGAGUAGGGCGGGACACGUGGUAUCCUGUCUGAAUAUGGGGGGACCAUCCUCCAAGGCUAAAUACUCCUGACUGACCGAUAGUGAACCAGUACCGUGAGGGAAAGGCGAAAAGAACCCCGGCGAGGGGAGUGAAAAAGAACCUGAAACCGUGUACGUACAAGCAGUGGGAGCACCCUUUGGGGUGUGACUGCGUACCUUUUGUAUAAUGGGUCAGCGACUUAUAUUCUGUAGCAAGGUUAACCGAAUAGGGGAGCCGGAGGGAAACCGAGUCUUAAUUGGGCGUUAAGUUGCAGGGUAUAGACCCGAAACCCGGUGAUCUAGCCAUGGGCAGGUUGAAGGUUGGGUAACACUAACUGGAGGACCGAACCGACUAAUGUUGAAAAAUUAGCGGAUGACCUGUGGCUGGGGGUGAAAGGCCAAUCAAACCGGGAGAUAGCUGGUUCUCCCCGAAAGCUAUUUAGGUAGCGCCUCGUGAAUUCAUCUCCGGGGGUAGAGCACUGUUUCGGCUAGGGGGCCAUCCCGGCUUACCAACCCGAUGCAAACUGCGAAUACCGGAGAAUGUUAUCACGGGAGACACACGGCGGGUGCUAACGUCCGUCGUGAAGAGGGAAACAACCCAGACCGCCAGCUAAGGUCCCAAAGUCAUGGUUAAGUGGGAAACGAUGUGGGAAGGCCCAGACAGCCAGGAUGUUGGCUUAGAAGCAGCCAUCAUUUAAAGAAAGCGUAAUAGCUCACUGGUCGAGUCGGCCUGCGCGGAAGAUGUAACGGGGCUAAACCAUGCACCGAAGCUGCGGCAGCGACGCUGAUGCGUUGUUGGGUAGGGGAGCGUUCUGUAAGCCUGCGAAGGUGGCCUGUGAGGGUUGCUGGAGGUAUCAGAAGUGCGAAUGCUGACAUAAGUAACGAUAAAGCGGGUGAAAAGCCCGCUCGCCGGAAGACCAAGGGUUCCUGUCCAACGUUAAUCGGGGCAGGGUGAGUCGACCCCUAAGGCGAGGCCGAAAGGCGUAGUCGAUGGGAAACGGGUUAAUAUUCCCGUACUUGGUGUUACUGCGAAGGGGGGACGGAGAAGGCUAUGUUGGCCGGGCGACGGUU